GGGUUGUGAGGUUAAGCGACUAAGCGUACACGGUGGAUGCCCUGGCAGUCAGAGGCGAUGAAGGGCGUGCUAAUCUGCGAUAAGCGCCGGUAAGGUGAUAUGAACCGUUAUAACCGGCGAUACCCGAAUGGGGAAACCCAGUGUGAUUCGUCACACUAUCAUUACGUGAAUACAUAGCGUAAUGAAGCGAACCGGGGGAACUGAAACAUCUAAGUACCCCGAGGAAAAGAAAUCAACCGAGAUUCCCCCAGUAGCGGCGAGCGAACGGGGAGGAGCCCAGAGCCUGAAUCAGCAUGUGUGUUAGUGGAAGCGUCUGGAAAGGCGCGCGAUACAGGGUGACAGCCCCGUACACAAAAGCGCAUGUGUUGUGAGCUCGAUGAGUAGGGCGGGACACGUGGUAUCCUGUCUGAAUAUGGGGGGACCAUCCUCCAAGGCUAAAUACUCCUGACUGACCGAUAGUGAACCAGUACCGUGAGGGAAAGGCGAAAAGAACCCCGGCGAGGGGAGUGAAAAAGAACCUGAAACCGUGUACGUACAAGCAGUGGGAGCACCCUUUGGGGUGUGACUGCGUACCUUUUGUAUAAUGGGUCAGCGACUUAUAUUCUGUAGCAAGGUUAACCGAAUAGGGGAGCCGGAGGGAAACCGAGUCUUAAUUGGGCGUUAAGUUGCAGGGUAUAGACCCGAAACCCGGUGAUCUAGCCAUGGGCAGGUUGAAGGUUGGGUAACACUAACUGGAGGACCGAACCGACUAAUGUUGAAAAAUUAGCGGAUGACCUGUGGCUGGGGGUGAAAGGCCAAUCAAACCGGGAGAUAGCUGGUUCUCCCCGAAAGCUAUUUAGGUAGCGCCUCGUGAAUUCAUCUCCGGGGGUAGAGCACUGUUUCGGCUAGGGGGCCAUCCCGGCUUACCAACCCGAUGCAAACUGCGAAUACCGGAGAAUGUUAUCACGGGAGACACACGGCGGGUGCUAACGUCCGUCGUGAAGAGGGAAACAACCCAGACCGCCAGCUAAGGUCCCAAAGUCAUGGUUAAGUGGGAAACGAUGUGGGAAGGCCCAGACAGCCAGGAUGUUGGCUUAGAAGCAGCCAUCAUUUAAAGAAAGCGUAAUAGCUCACUGGUCGAGUCGGCCUGCGCGGAAGAUGUAACGGGGCUAAACCAUGCACCGAAGCUGCGGCAGCGAACGUAUCACUUAAAGCGAUUCAGCGGGUUACGAUUGACGGAGCGAAGCGACGUCAAAGCGUAUACAAAGUCGAGUCGGUUUAAGGAUACGUUCGUUGGGUAGGGGAGCGUUCUGUAAGCCUGUGAAGGUGUGUCGUGAGGCAUGCUGGAGGUAUCAGAAGUGCGAAUGCUGACAUAAGUAACGAUAAAGCGGGUGAAAAGCCCGCUCGCCGGAAGACCAAGGGUUCCUGUCCAACGUUAAUCGGGGCAGGGUGAGUCGACCCCUAAGGCGAGGCCGAAAGGCGUAGUCGAUGGGAAACGGGUUAAUAUUCCCGUACUUGGUGUUACUGCGAAGGGGGGACGGAGAAGGCUAUGUUGGCCGGGCGACGGUUGUCCCGGUUUAAGCGUGUAGGUGUGUGUUCCAGGUAAAUCCGGUUCACUUUAACACUGAGGCGUGACGACGAGGCACUACGGUGCUGAAGCAACAAAUGCCCUGCUUCCAGGAAAAGCCUCUAAGCAUCAGGUAACAUCAAAUCGUACCCCAAACCGACACAGGUGGUCAGGUAGAGAAUACCAAGGCGCUUGAGAGAACUCGGGUGAAGGAACUAGGCAAAAUGGUGCCGUAACUUCGGGAGAAGGCACGCUGACACGUAGGUGAAGUGAUUUACUCAUGGAGCUGAAGUCAGUCGAAGAUACCAGCUGGCUGCAACUGUUUAUUAAAAACACAGCACUGUGCAAACACGAAAGUGGACGUAUACGGUGUGACGCCUGCCCGGUGCCGGAAGGUUAAUUGAUGGGGUCAGCGCAAGCGAAGCUCCUGAUCGAAGCCCCGGUAAACGGCGGCCGUAACUAUAACGGUCCUAAGGUAGCGAAAUUCCUUGUCGGGUAAGUUCCGACCUGCACGAAUGGCGUAAUGAUGGCCAGGCUGUCUCCACCCGAGACUCAGUGAAAUUGAACUCGCUGUGAAGAUGCAGUGUACCCGCGGCAAGACGGAAAGACCCCGUGAACCUUUACUAUAGCUUGACACUGAACAUUGAGCCUUGAUGUGUAGGAUAGGUGGGAGGCUUUGAAGUGUGGACGCCAGUCUGC
rnacentral:rRNA from 1 species